CCGACAUGUAGUCAGUCAAUCUACUUAACAUGCUGUAACUGUUAUGAACGGUUAUCGACUACAUAUCACGAUAAUUAUUGAGAAUUAACAAUCCACUAACUCCAUAAUUAUGGUCCGAUAAUUUAGCGCCAUAAAAAGCGGGACCACAUGCUCCACGGUUAGAUCAGAUUCAUCUAUAAAAGGAGGAUAAGGGAAUAGUACUGGUAAGAUACUUCUGGCCAGAGUUCUGCUACUCUCGAUACUCAAAUCUACUAUUGUUCAUCAAUUUCUGUUCUGACUUA
rnacentral:lncRNA from 1 species